AUUGAACGCUGGCGGCAUGCCUUACACAUGCAAGUCGAACGGCAGCACGGGGCAACCUGGUGGCGAGUGGCGAACGGGUGAGUAAUGCAUCGGAACGUGCCAUUGAGUGGGGGAUAACGUAGCGAAAGUUGCGCUAAUACCGCAUAUUCUGUGAGCAGGAAAGCAGGGGACCGCAAGGCCUUGCGCUCUUUGAGCGGCCGAUGUCAGAUUAGCUAGUUGGUGAGGUAACGGCUUACCAAGGCGACGAUCUGUAGCGGGUCUGAGAGGAUGAUCCGCCACACUGGAACUGAGACACGGUCCAGACUCCUACGGGAGGCAGCAGUGGGGAAUUUUGGACAAUGGGCGCAAGCCUGAUCCAGCCAUGCCGCGUGAGUGAAGAAGGCCUUCGGGUUGUAAG
rnacentral:rRNA from 1 species